rnacentral:rRNA from 1 species
AUGAAGCACACCGUGCAGGCUGAAAACAUAAAUCUUGAUGAUGUUAUUGUACCUGGCAUGCUUAAUGAAGACGACAACAUUCAAAGUAAUGUAAUACCAUUGUCCUAUGCUGGCAGAACUCGUUCUAUGAUUCACGCAUAUCGUGAUGGAAUGUCUGCUUCUCAUGUCCACAACUCACCUGACAUAAUCACCACCUUCACAUGUAACCCUAAGUGGGCUGAGAUGACAAUGCCGCUUAAAUUAGAGCAACAACAAAUCAAUAAGGCUACUGAGACUAAUCGUAUCUAUCGCAUGAAGCUACUUGAGUAUCUGUAG